AAGAACAGUUGUUGGGGAUAUAAAAUUCCCGUAAAUUAAUUAAUCAGAAAAAUGUAUCAAGUUAAAGAUGACCUGGUAAAAAAAUGCUGUAAACGUAAGCCAGGAAUCAUAAGAUAAACUCGCAACGCACGAAUCUUUUGUUAACAGCCAGUUUCUGUAUCCCAUUCUUCAGUAAGUCGAUGAUUACACAGGGAAGUACUUGUUUCAUUUAAGAAAAUAUGAAUCUCGAUAUGACAUACGAGGCACAUGAUAUAAGAUUUACAAUUUUGAAGUUCCGCUGUUUAAUCAUCAAUUUAAAGUGUUAUAUCCUAAUUUUGACACUCCAAAC
rnacentral:lncRNA from 1 species